ACGAGUUCGAAAGUCGGUCGACCGUGCUGGCGGAGACGCAUGUGCACGUCGGUCGCGAACCAUCCACACACCGUGAACCUAUGGCCUGGGGUCUCGAGUUCAGAGCCCCGGGCAUCAUUUUUACACUCUGUUUGUAAAGGAAUGUCUUUAUAUCAUAAAACAUA
rnacentral:misc_RNA from 1 species